rnacentral:rRNA from 1 species
UGAGGAAUAUUGCACAAUGAGCGCAAGCCUGAUGCAGCAACGCCGCGUGAGGGACGAAGGCCUUCGGGUCGUAAACCUCUUUUCUGGGGGACGAGUAAGGACGGUACCCCAGGAAUAAGUCUCGGCUAACUACGUGCCAGCAGCCGCGGUAAAACGUAGGAGGCGAGCGUUAUCCGGAUUUACUGGGCGUAAAGCGUACGCAGGUGGCUUCGUUAGUCGGACAUGAAAGCUCCUGGCUUAACUGGGAGAGGUUGUUCGAUACUGCGGGGCUUGAGGUUGGGAGAGGGACGUGGAAUUCCCGGUGUAGUGGUGGAAUGCGUAGAUAUCGGGAGGAACACCAGUGCGCAAGCGGCGUCCUGGCCCACACCUGACGCUGAGGUACGAAAGCGUGGGUAGCAAACAG